AGUAUGGCCACUCAUCCAUCUUAAAAUUCUCAUUUCAGUUUACCCACACCCUCGAGAUAUCAUAAUAGUAAGAAACACACUGUACGAAAAAGCUGAUCCCUUACUAGUAACCUAGCAUUAAGUGGCAGGGAGAGUGGAGUUGUAGCAUUGAACCAAUGUCACAGGAGGAUGUUCAAAAAUUUACUCACUGGUAGUACAGUUUAGAUUCAACACUUUCUUAGGAGUAAGUGAAUAGGAAGCAUAACAUAAAUAUUAAUAAUGAGAAUAUAGGGAAUAAAAAUGCAUACUUCCUGCACGGGAUGGGA
rnacentral:misc_RNA from 1 species